CAACGUCCAUCUUUGCAUAUUCCAUCUUCGACCCGUUCCAAAAUUUCUUAAUUUUUGCUUCCGUCAUACUGCACAACUGAGUUUCUUGAAGAGCCAAAAACCCCACGUUAUUCUCUCUAACAAGCUUCCUGACCAUCGACGCUUUGCCCGAACCCCCUGCUCCUUUUACGUUUAACGAGGCCCAAUUCAUUUAGACAUAGCAUCCGCCCUUUCACCAAUGAUGGUGUCUUCAAUCUGCUUCUUGUUUUUGGACAAAUCACAUCCCAGUGCAAUCCCAAUCUCCUCUGUGUCUCUACAUUCUACUUCUGUAUCUAUACAUCUAUACAUCUAUAUAAAGCAUUUUAAUGGGACAUAAAUGAAAUUUUCCCACACAAUUUUAAGACGCCAUAUAAGUUCCUAAGCUAAUUUCCCUCCACUUUUGUCCCCUGUUCCCAAAUAUGCCCCCGCCCCUUAAAAGUUGAAACCCUGUUGCGUGCAUCGUGCCUUUCUGUCUUCAAUAGCAAAUGAAUGCGAUCUUUGGUAUUCGCCCGUUCCCAUCUUCCCUAUAACCUGAGUUUCAAUUCUUAAAGCUUCGAUUAUGAUGAAUUAAAGAUUUAAUUAAGUCGAAACCUCCCCUUUAAUCCUACAAUAGAUGAGAUAAAGAAAGAAGAGCAUCCCUCAAGCAAGCAAGACCCAAGGGUUUGGAUACCAGAGUCUUAAUUGAAGGCUGCAACCGAUUCAUCUCAUCAUAUGAAACAAAGGUUUCCUAUUUCCUAGCCCUCUAAUUUCACAAUUGCAUGGAUUAAAUUUUUGUAGAUUUCACCGCUUUCGUGUUCUUGUUUGUAUCAUUUUGUUUUUUGAUUCUAUCAAUUGAUAUUUUAUUUUUACUAAAUCCUUAAAGUGUGUGUAUGUGUGUGUGAUUGUGUUAUCUUCUUUAUGCUUCUUUUUUGCAAUAUUGAUAUCUAGAAUUGCUCCUUUGGCGUAAGUAAAGAUCCUUAUUUAACUUUGAGAGUCGUAGACAUUGUACUUUUUGGAACUUAAAUGGAUAUGACUAGGGAUGCAAACGAGCCGAGCCCGAGUCGGUUCGAGCUUUGUUUUCAAAGCUUGAGCUUGGCUCGUUUUUCAUCUAUUAAUUAAUAUAUUAAAUAAAAAAUAAUAUAUAUAAUAGACUUGUUAGGCUCGUGAGCUCGAUAAGUAAUGCUCGGGCUCAGACUCGUUUACUAAACAAGCUUAUUUUUAGUUUCGGGCUCGACUCAAACUACCCAUUAAAAAAAGAUUUGAGGAUUUAUUAAUUGAAACCGCUUAAAACCUAACUGGAUAAAAACACUUUCGAACAUAUUCGAAAUUUCCCCUUAUAAUCUGGUUUUAAAUCUGAACAGGUUUGAGUAGAUCCGGUUUUGGCCCUCUUAAUCAAUUUGAAUCGGUUUAAAAUGGAUUUUUGUGCACUUCCACCUGUAGAGGCCAAAAUAUGUUUCUAAUCUUAUUAUUUUUUCCCCCAACAUUUUAGCCCAAAUUGGAGGAUUAAGGGGCUGGGGCAUUAUAGUUUUAAACUGGGCCCAAAUAGGUAAUGAGAUGAAUAAAAAAAUAUAGAAUUUGACAUUUUUAUUAUAAAAAAAAUAAACUAAAAAUGCUAACUUUGAUCUUUUAUAUAUCCUUCCCUAUCCCUAAUAAUUGCUUACACUCUACAUUUUAUUUAUACUGCUUUGGCAUGUGGUUAUGUGAUCAAUGAUUCUUUCCAAUACAGUAAAACAUGCUUUUUAGCCUCUCUUGUAGGUGUAUUGUGCCUUUACUGUUGCCAUUUCGGGUCUGCACGGGUUUCUGCACGGGACGGGUUUCGGGCCGACAUGAGUUUUCGCACGGGACGAGUUUCGAGUCGGGACAGAUUUUAGCACUAGACGGUUUCAGUUUGUUUUUUUUUUUGUUUUGUUGGGGUCGGUUAUUUUCGGUUUUGGUUGAGAUUUUUUGUUUCGUUUUGGUCGCUUUUUUCGUUCGAUUUUUUAGUUUUUUUUGGUUUCGUUUCGAUUUUUUUUUCGUUCGCUUUUUUUUGGUCCGUUUCGGUUCGGUUUCAGCUUUUUUGUUUCGUUUUGGUCGGUUCCGUUUCAGCUUUUUUGUUGUUAGUGGUUGUUGUAGUUGAUGUUAGGUUGAAUUAGGAAUUGAGUGAUUGUAGGCUGCCGUUUUAAUUCAGUUUCGAAAUUUGGAUUCGGUGCUAUCCAACUGCAUGUGAGUAUUUAAGGCUUUAUUUUGGUUGUAACAUUUUCUCCGGCCACAUUUCUAACUUUCAAAUCUUUGUCUUCGUAAUCCGUUGACCACCCCACCGGUAUGCAAGGUGAAAAUGAAAUAAAGAUCAAAUACAAACAGGUUAUCUUCAGGAUGACUAACCAAGUUCAUUUGUUUUUAUCCAACUGCACGUGUGCUAUUAGAUCUGUACUAACAUCUUCUCAUCCUGAAGAUAACCUGUUUGUAUUUGAUCUUUAUUUCAUUCUUACCUUGCAUACCGGUGGGGUGGUCAACGGAUUACGAAGACUUUACUAAGGUGGGAUUCUUCUGUUAUUGAGAAAAAGGCCCAGAAUAAAAUGAACAUGUUGUUACAGAAGAUGAAGCGGUUUCUACCAACUACUGUUAUGCUUUUAAUUAUCAAAAUCCAGCACUGGUAACUUGUGCGCUAUAUAUUUGGAGACUUUUAACUGGUGGAGGAUCUGCCCGCAAAAGAUCCUAGGAAGAUGAUGAGAAUUCAAGCUCCCUUGUCACAAUUUAUUGCCAAAAUGGGAGGAGAGUUAAUGUUACUCCAGUGUGGGCGUAUCGUUUCCAAACGCUCAGGUACUUAUAUCUCCGAUGGGGUAUGGACUUGUCAAAAGUUGUGGUUUUUAUUGGUGAAAAUGGAGACAUAGGUUAUGAAGGAAAUCUUGGUAGUGUUCACAAGUCUAUUAUACUUCGGUAAUGCUAUUAACGACCAACAUCAUGCCAACAGAAUCCACCCGCUUUUAGACGUACGGUGCUCUGUUUAUUGUUACUAUUUUUUAUUUACAUUAUAUGGUUGUCUUUUGUUUUCAUUAAACAUGAGUGUCGGUAUCAUUUCAGUACUUUAACCAA